AUUGAACGCUGGCGGCAGGCCUAACACAUGCAAGUCGAGCGGAACGGCGGACGGGUGAGUAAUGCCUAGGAAUCUUCCUGGUAGUGGGGGAUAACGUCCGGAAACGGGCGCUAAUACCGCACACUAUCAGAUGACACUAGGUCGGAUUAGCUAGUUGGUUGGUUACAGGCAUACCAAGGCGACGAUCCGUAACUGGUCUGAGAGGAUGAUCAGUCAAACUGGAACUGAGACACGGUCCAGACCCCUACGGGAGGCAGCAGUGGGGAAUAUUGGACAAUGGGCGAAAGCCUGAUCCAGCAAUGCCGCGUGUGUGAAGAAGGUCUUCGGAUUGUAAAGCACUUUAAGUUGGGAGGCGUUACCAACAGAAUAAGCACCGGCUAACUUCGUGCCAGCAGCCGCGGUAAUUC
rnacentral:rRNA from 1 species